rnacentral:rRNA from 1 species
CCUACGGGUGGCAGCAGUGGGGAAUUUUGGACAAUGGGGGCAACCCUGAUCCAGCCAUGCCGCGUGCGGGAAGAAGGCCUUCGGGUUGUAAACCGCUUUUGUCAGGGAAGAAAUGUCCUGGGCUAAUACCCUGGGGGGAUGACGGUACCUGAAGAAUAAGCACCGGCUAACUACGUGCCAGCAGCCGCGGUAAUACGUAGGGUGCGAGCGUUAAUCGGAAUUACUGGGCGUAAAGCGUGCGCAGGCGGUCAUACAAGACAGAUGUGAAAUCCCCGGGCUCAACCUGGGAACUGCAUUUGUGACUGUAUGGCUGGAGUACGGUAGAGGGGAGUGGAAUUCCGCGUGUAGCAGUGAAAUGCGUAGAUAUGCGGAGGAACACCGAUGGCGAAGGCAGCUCCCUGGACCUGUACUGACGCUCAUGCACGAAAGCGUGGGGAGCAAACAGGAUUAGAUACCCUUGUAGUC